ensembl:snRNA U6 U6 spliceosomal RNA
GUGCUCAUUUCAGCAGCACAUAUACUAAAAUUAGACUGAUACAGAGAGGAUUAGCAUGGCCCCUGCGCAAAGAUGACACGCAAAUUCAUGAAGCAUUUCAUUAAGAA